rnacentral:rRNA from 1 species
GACGAACGCUGGCGGCGUGCUUAACACAUGCAAGUCGAACGGAAAGGCCCAGCUUGCUGGGUGCUCGAGUGGCGAACGGGUGAGUAACACGUGGGUGAUCUGCCUCUAACUUCGGGAUAAGCUUGGGAAACUGGGUCUAAUACCGGAUAGGACAAUCGUUUAGUGUCGGUUGUGGAAAGUUUUUUCGGUUAGGGAUGAGCCCGCGGCCUAUCAGCUUGUUGGUGGGGUAAUGGCCUACCAAGGCGUCGACGGGUAGCCGGCCUGAGAGGGUGGACGGCCACAUUGGGACUGAGAUACGGCCCAGACUCCUACGGGAGGCAGCAGUGAGGAAUAUUGCACAAUGGGCGCAAGCCUGAUGCAGCGACGCCGCGUGGGGGAUGACGGCCUUCGGGUUGUAAACCUCUUUCGACAGGGACGAAGCUUUGGUGACGGUACCUGUAUAAGAAGCACCGGCUAACUACGUG